GCCCCCUUAGUUCAACGGAUAGAACGGAAGUUUCCUAAACUUUAAAUGAGGGUUCGAUUCCCCCAGGGGGUACCA
rnacentral:tRNA from 1 species